UCUCCAAUAAUAUGUGAAUAGCCUUUACUAAGGAGAGAAGUAGAUAGCUGUCACUGAGAAAAAGUCGCUAGAUAGCAGUGUCAUUGACUCACCUGUGCCAUUCGUUGUUGUUGUGGGGGCUGUUGUGGUGGUCGUGGUGGUUGUUGUGGGGGCUGUUGUGGUGGUCGUGGUGGGUGCUGUUGUGGGGGCUGUUGUGUUGGUCGUGGUGGUUGUGGGGGCUGUUGUGGUAGUUGCCGCAGCUGUUGUGGUAGUUGUAGCAGCUGUUGUGGGGCCCUUUGUGGUAGUGGUGGCAGAUGUGGGUUCUGUUGUGGCUGCCAUUGUUGUAGUUGCAGCAGCUGUUGUGGUAGUGGUGGGAGCUGCUGUGGGUGCUGUUGUGGUGGUUGCAGCAGCUGUUGUGGUAGUUGCUGCAGCUGUUGUGGUAGUUGAAGCAGCUGUUGUGGUGGUUGCAGUAGCUCUUGUGGUAGUUGCAGCAGCUGUUGUAGUGGCUACUGGAGCGGUUGUGGUAGUUGCAGCAGCUGUUGUGGUGGUUGCUGGAGCUGUUUUGGUGGUUGAAGCAGCUGUUGUGGUAGUUACUGGUGCUGUUGUGGUGGUUGUAGCAGCUGUUUUGGUUGUUUCUGGAGCUGUUGUGGUAGUUGCGGGAGCUGUUGUGGUGGUUGCAGCAGCUGUUGUGGUAGUUUCUGGAGCUGUUGUUGGUGCUGUUGUGGUAGUGGUGGGGGCUGUUGUGGUGGUUGCAGCAGCUGUUGUGGGGGCCUUUAUGGUAGUGGUGGCAGAUGUUGUGGGUUCUGUUGUGGUAGUUGCUAAAGCUGUUGUGGUACUUGCAAUAGCUAUUGUGUUGGUUGCAGCCGCUGUUGUGUAAGUUUGUGGAGCUGUUGUGGUAGUGGUGGGAGCUGUUGUGAGAGCUGUUGUGGUAGAUGCGUGAGCUGUUGUGGUAGUAGUGGUAGCUGUUGUGGUAAUUGCUGAAGUUGUUAUGGGGGCUGUUGUGGUGGUUGCAGCAGCUGUUGUGGGGGCCUUUGUGGUAGUGGUGGCAGAUGUUGUGGGUUCUGUUGUGGCUGCCGUUGUUUUAGUUGCAGCAGCUGUUGUGGUGGUGGUGCGAGCUGCUGUGGGUGCUGUUGUGGUUUUUGCAGCAGCUGUUUUAGUAGUUGCUGCAGCUGUUGUGGUAGUUGAAGCAGCUUUUGUGGUGGUUUUAGUAGCUCUUGUGGUAGUUGCAGCAGCUGUUGUGGUGGUUGCUGGAGCUGUUGUGGUAGUUGCAGCAGCUGUUUUGGUAGUUUCUGAAGCUGUUGUGGGUGCUGUUGUGGUAGUGGUGGUAGUUGUUGUGGUAAUUGCUGCAGCUGUAAAGGGGGCUGUUGUGGUGCUUGCAAUAGCUGUUGUAGGGGCCUUUGUGGUAGUGGUGGCAGAUGUUGUGGGUUCUGUUGUGGCUUCCGUUGUUGUAGUUGCAGGAGCUGUUGUGGUAGUUGCUGAAGCUGUUGUGGGUGCUGUUGUGGUAGUGGUGGUAGUUGUUGUGGUAAUUGCUGCAGCUGUAAUGGGGGCUGUUGUGGUGGUUGCAGCAGCUGUUGUAGGGGCCUUUGUGGUAGUGGUGGCAGAUGUUGUGGGUUCUGUUGUGGCUUCCGUUGUUGUAGUUGCAGCAGCUGUUGUGGUAGUGGUGGGAGCUGCUGUGGGUGCUGUUGUGGUGGUUGCAGUGGCUGUUGUGGUAGUUGCUGCAGCUGAAGUGGUAGUUGAAGCAGCUGUUGUGGUGGUUGCAGCAGCUGUUGUGGUAGUUUCUGGAGCUGUUGUGGGUGCUGUUGUGGUAGUGGUGGUAGUUGUUGUGGUAAUUGCUGUAGCUGUAAUGGGGGCUGUUGUGGUGGUUGCAGCAGCUGUUGUGGGAGCUCUUGUGGUACUUGCAAUAGCUAUUGUGGUAGUUACAGCAGCUGUUGUGGUGGUUGCUGGAGCUGUUGUUGUGGUUGCAGCAGCUGUUGUGGUAGUUGGAGUAGCUUUUGUGGUAGUUGCAGCAGUUGUUGUGUUAGUUUCUGGAGCUGUUGUGGGUGCUGUUGUGGUAGUGGUGGGACCUGUUGUGGUAGUUGCAGCAGCUGUUGUGGUGGUUGCAGCAGCUGUUGUGGUAGUUUCUGGAGCUGUUGUGGUGGUUGCAGCAGCUGUUGUGGUGGUUGCAGCAGCUGUUGUGGUAUUGGUGGGAGCUGUUGUGGGAGAUGUUGUGGUAGAUGCUGGAGCUGUAGUGGUGGUUGCUGGAGUUGUUGUGGUAGUUUCUGGAUUUGUUGUGGGUGCUGUUGUGGUAGUGGUGGUAGCUGUUGUGGUAAUUGCUGCAGCUGUUAUGGGGGCUGUUGUGAUGGUUGCAGCAGCUGUUGUGGGGGCCUUAGCGGUAGUGGCGGCAGAUAUUGUGGGUUCUUUUGUGGCUGCCGUUGUUGUAGUUGCAGCAGCUGUUGUGGUAGUGGUGGGAGCUGCUGUGGGUGCUGUUGUGGUGGUUGCAGCCGCUGUUGUGGUAGUUACUGGAGCUCUUGUGGGUGCUGUUGUGGUAGUGGUGGGACCUGUUGUGGUAAUGGUGGCAGCUGUUGUGGGUGCUGUUGUGGUGGUUGCAGCAGCUGUUGUGGUAGUUUCUGGAGCUGUUGUGGGUGCUGUUGUGGUAGUGGUGGGACCUGUUGUGGUAGAUGCUGGAGCUGUUGUGGUAGUUGCUGGAGCUGUUGUGGUGGUUGCAGCAGCUGUUGUGGUAGGUGCAGCCGCUGUUGUGGUGGUUGCUGGAGCUGUUGUUGUGGUUGCUGGAGCUGUUGUGGUAGUUGAUGCAGCUCUUGUGGUAGUUGCAGCAGCUGUUGGGGUGGUUGUAGCAGCUGUUGUGGUAGUUGCAGCAGCUGUUGUGGUGCUUGCUGGAGCUGUUGUGGUGGUUGCAGCAGCUGUUGUGCUAGUUUCUGGAGCUGUUGUGGGUGCUGUUGUGGUAGUGGUGGUAGCUGUUGUGGUAAUUGCUGCAGCUGUUAUUGGGGCUGUUGUGGUGGUUGCAGCAGCUGUUGUGGUAGUUUCUGGAGCUCUUGUAGGUGCUGUUGUGGUAGUGGUGGGAGCUGUUGUGGUAAUUGCUGCAG
ensembl:lncRNA